rnacentral:rRNA from 1 species
AUACGUAGGGAGCGAGCGUUUACCGGAAUUACUGGGCGUAAAGGGCGCGUAGGCGGCGCUUCAAGUCGUCUGUCAAAUGGGAGGGCUUAACCCUUUUUCGCAGACGAAACUGGAGAGCUUGAGAAGCAGAGAGGCAAACAGAAUUCCUGGUGUAGCGGUGAAAUGCGUAGAUAUCAGGAAGAAUACCAGUGGCGAAGACGGUUUGAUGGCUGCAUACUGACGCUGAAGCGGGAAUGCCAGGGGAGCAAACGGGAUUAGAUACCCCGGUAGUCAUGGCAGUAAACGAUGUAUGCUGGGUGUGAGACUAGCGAUAGUUUCGUGCAGAAGUUAACACGAUAAGCAUACCGCCUGGGGAGUACGGUCGCAAGAUUGAAACUCAAAGGAAUUGACGUGG